AUACGGCUCAGUAACACGUAGUCAACCUACCCUAUGGACGAGAAUAAUCUCGGGAAACUGAGCAUAAUUCUUGAUAGAUCAUAAUGCCUGGAAUGGUUUAUGGUUAAAAUGAUUCGUCGCCAUAGGAUGGGACUGCGGCCUAUCAGCUUGUUGGUGAGGUAAUGGCCCACCAAGGCGAUUACAGGUACGGGCUCUGAGAGGAGAAGCCCGGAGAUGGGUACUGAGACACGGACCCAGGCCCUAUGGGGCGCAGCAGGCGAGAAAACUUUGCAAUGUGCGAAAGCACGACAAGGUUAAUCCGAGUGAUUUCUGCUAAAGAAAUCUUUUGCCAGUCAUAAAACCACUGGUGAAUAAGGGGUGGGCAAGUUCUGGUGUCAGCCGCCGCGGUAAAACCAGCACCUCAAGUGGUCAGGAUGAUUAUUGGGCCUAAAGCAUCCGUAGCCGGCUUUGUAAGUUUUCGGUUAAAUCCAUGUGCUCAACGCAUGGGCUGCCGAAAAUACUGCAUGGCUAGGGAGUGGGAGAGGUAGACGGUACUCAGUAGGAAGGGGUAAAAUCCUUUGAUCUAUUGAUGACCACCUGUAGCGAAGGCGGUCUACCAGAACACGUUCGACGGUGAGGGAUGAAAGCUGGGGGAGCAAACCGGAUUAGAUACCCGGGUAGUCCCAGCUGUAAACGAUGCAGACUCGAUGAUGCAUUGGCAUAAUAGCCAGUGCAGUGUCGCAGGGAAGCCGUUAAGUCUGCCGCCUGGGAAGUACGCACGCAAGUAUGAAACUU
rnacentral:rRNA from 1 species